rnacentral:pre_miRNA from 1 species
GAUAUCAACUGAAAAAGUCAUCAACAACAAAGUUGAAUAACUCAUCAAGAUCUAAAACUUUUAUUUUGUUUAUUUCUUCAUACGACAAAGUGAUAGUAACAUUGUUUACAAAAUUGACAUAUCUCUUAUCUGGUUUUAUAAACUAUAACACAUAUAUGUAAAAUUUGUGAAUAAUAUUACUAACAUUUCGUCGGAUGAAGAAAUAACAAAAAUAAAAGUUUUAGAUCUUGAUGAGUUAUUCAACUUUGUUGUUGAUGACUUUUUCAAUUGAAAUC